AGCUCCAAUAGCGUAUAUUAAAGUUGCUGCAGUUAAAAAGCUCGUAGUUGCAUUUCCGAGGCAAGGGAUUAGUCCGACCUUUGGUGGGUAUUUAAUCCUCUUGCCUCGUCCUUGAGUGGUGCUUCUUGGUAUUAAGUUAUCGAGGAGAUAGCCGCUCAUCGUUUACUGUGAGAAAAUUAGAGUGUUCAAAGCAGGCUUAUGCCGUUGAAUAUAUUAGCAUGGAAUAAUAAGAUAGGACCUCGGUACUAGUUUGUUGGUUUGAGAACCAAGGUAAUGAUGAAUAGGGACAGUUGGGGGUAUUCGUAUUCAGUUGUCAGAGGUGAAAUUCUUAGAUUUACGGAAGACGAACUACUGCGAAAGCAUUUACCAAGGAUGUUUGCA
rnacentral:rRNA from 1 species